UACGUAGGUGGCAAGCGUCGUCCGGAAUCACUGGGCGUAAAGGGCGCGUAGGUGGCUUGGGAAGCGUGUGGUGAAAGCCCGGGGCUCAACCCCGGGUCGGCCAUGCGAACUGCCAGGCUGGAGCACGGUAGAGGCCAAUGGAAUUCCGGGUGUAGCGGUGGAAUGCGUAGAGAUCCGGAAGAACACCGGUGGCGAAGGCGGUUGGCUGGGCCGUGGCUGACACUGAGGCGCGACAGCGUGGGGAGCAAACAGG
rnacentral:rRNA from 1 species